rnacentral:lncRNA from 1 species
UUUUUUUUUACAGAUACACCUGUCUUUCUUAGAAAUACACUAAAAUGAAAAAGCACAUAGAGUAUGCAAAGUACAAUAUGCUUUCUAUAAUGGUCAAGUAGGUGAAACAAUUUUCUACCGAGGUCCUACAUUUUAAAUUAUAUUUGAAAAAGAUACGAAUUUAUGUAAAAAUCCAUGAUCUAUGUUUACUGUUAAAACGAUAAAUCCAAAUAGCGGAUACAUGUUGAUGCCACGAGAUCGGGCCCAUCACUAGCGAAGCCGAAAACCGGUGCGCAGGCACGCGCAUGCUGUGCGCUCCCUACUAUUCCCCGGGUCCUCUAGCGUAGGUCCGUGGUGCCCCUACCAUUUCCCACUGUCCGCGACACGUUCACUCAAGCAGGCUUCGUACUCUUCCCCGCAGCCGCCAAGCCCGUUUCUCAUCCGAUUUGCGUCGACCUGCCGCCUGCUUUAGCCAAGCCACGCUCCGAACUAUACGAGCCGAUCUUCGGCUCAAGAAUUUCUCGACUUCCCGAUAUGCGUACAGCCGCCCUAAGCUGCUACAACUUUUGCUCGUGUAUAUACCGACUUUCGUCUCCGUUUCGAGUGGUCUGAAGUGAACUCAGUGAUCGUGCAAGUGUUGCUGGUGAAGCUUUUAAGUGUACAUUCUAUGCGUGAAACAUCGCUGGAUAUGUAAGAAAAAUUGUGCCGCCGCAAUUUCAAGUACCGAUAGGUGGAUCUUGGAUUUUCUGGCCUAAAACACACCGUGGGAUUUCCAAGCUUCCGUUUUUCGGCGGACAGCGAUUCGUCUGGCUAGAAUUGUGAGAUGUUUUAUUUCGGAUCUUUCUCACACCGAAUGUUACGCGUUGUGUGAUGGAAGAUAAUGGACACUGGUGAAAGAUAUAGACUUGCAGUGCAGUCAGCAAACGUGCGAAAAAGCUAAGUAAAUAGAUUAGAAGUCCCUUUGCGUGAUUUUUAUGAAAGAUCGCCGAUGAAAUUGCCGAAGAGAGAACGGAAUACGCGUUUCCAAUGAAAAUAUCAAGAAAUAUCACGAAGGAAAUCUUGCGAUUCUAACCUCUUUCGAACGUCAAAAUUUUCAGUAAAACCAAAACCAAAAAGGAAACGUAAUUAAUUUAUGCGGAGAGAAAAAAUUUAAUCGUUAACACCGAAACCAAAUAGCAAAAUCUACGAACGCUAUAAAACAAGCUUCGAAUAUGAAGAAUAUUCUGAAAUGAUAGAAACGUAUAUCAGUUUCGGACGUAUGAAACAAAAAAGAAAGAAAAGAGAAAAGGCGAUUAGCUGUUGAGAUCGAAUUCGGUUAGCCGAGACGAAACGUUCAAGAUCAACGAAGAAACGUUGGUGUGUAAAAUAUGGAAUUAGAACGACGAGGAAAGUGAAGGUCUGAUCGCCCGAAAGGAAAAUGGAAUUCCAUAAGUACGCGUUGCUUUGAAUUGUCCGCGUGUUGCGCUCAUCGUGCACGGUACGCAACGCAAUUGGGGAAACUCUUUUAUUGGAAAUGAGGUCGUGCGAUCCUACGGUAUAGAGCGUAGAAUAUCGCAGAAUACUCGUACAAUAGAACAGAGAGAGAGAGAGCGAGAGCGAGAGCGAGAGAGAGAGAGAGAGAGAGAGAGA